rnacentral:rRNA from 1 species
AAUACAUCGGAACGUGCCUAGUAGUGGGGGAUAACUACUCGAAAGAGUGGCUAAUACCGCAUGAGAUCUACGGAUGAAAGCAGGGGAUCGCAAGACCUUGUGCUACUAGAGCGGCCGAUGGCAGAUUAGGUAGUUGGUGGGAUAAAAGCUUACCAAGCCGACGAUCUGUAGCUGGUCUGAGAGGACGAUCAGCCACACUGGGACUGAGACACGGCCCAGACUCCUACGGGAGGCAGCAGUGGGGAAUUUUGGACAAUGGGCGCAAGCCUGAUCCAGCAAUGCCGCGUGCAGGAUGAAGGCCUUCGGGUUGUAAACUGCUUUUGUACGGAACGAAAAGCCCUGGGUUAAUACCCUGGGGUCAUGACGGUACCGUAAGAAUAAGCACCGGCUAACUACGUGCCAGCAGCCGCGGUAAUACGUAGGGUGCGAGCGUUAAUCGGAUUUACUGGGCGUAAAGCGUGCGUAGGCGGCUUUUUAAGUCGGAUGUGAAAUCCUUGAGCUUAACUUAGGAAUUGCAUUCGAUACUGGGAAGCUAGAGUAUGGGAGAGGAUGGUAGAAUUCCAGGUGUAGCGGUGAAAUGCGUAGAGAUCUGGAGG